rnacentral:rRNA from 1 species
AACGAACGCUGGCGGCAUGCCUAACACAUGCAAGUCGAACGAAACCUUCGGGCCUUUUUGCGCACGUCUGCUUAACGCGUGGUAACCUGCCCUUAGGUUCCCUAUACCUCCCCGAAAGGUGUCCUAAUACCGGUUAAUCUCUUCCCGCCAAAGAUUUCUCGCUUUUGGAUGGGCCCUCGUUGGAUUAGCUAGUUGGUAGUGUAAAAGCCUACCAAGGCGAGGAUCCAUAGCUGGUCUGAGAGGAGGAUCAGCCACACUGGGAAUGAGACACGGCCCAGAAUGCUACGGAAGGGAGCAGUGGGGAAUACUGGACAAGGGGCGAAAGCGUGAUCAAGCAAUGCGGGGUGAGAGAUGAAGGGCUUAGGGUUGUAAAGCUGUUUGACACGGGAUGAGAAUGACAGUACCGGGAGAAGAAGCACCGGCUAACUACGUG